UCUUAAAAUUUUUUACUCAUUUUUAUUAUUAAUAAUUGACGAGACUGAUAGAAUAACUAGAUAAUUACAUGUGGCGUGUCACGUGUAUCUCAUGCUGACAUAAAGGACCAAUUUUGAAUAGUAGAAGUCGAUGAAACUUUUAACA
rfam:Gossypium raimondii Chr03_contig_1062, whole genome shotgun sequence.